rnacentral:rRNA from 1 species
UAACUGCGAGUGAAGCGGGAAAAGCUCAAAUUUGAAAUCUGGCAGUCUUUUUUUUCUUCUUUGGCUGUCCGAGUUGUAAUCUAGAGAAGUGCUUACCUGCACUGGACCAUGUAUAAGUCUCCUGGAAUGGAGCGUCACAGAGGGUGAGAAUCCCGUCUUUGACAUGGACUGCCAGUGUGUUGUGGUGUGCUCUCAAAGAGUCGAGUUGUUUGGGAAUGCAGCUCUAAAUGGGUGGUAAACUCCAUCUAAAGCUAAAUAUUGGCGAGAGACCGAUAGUGAACAAGUACCGUGAGGGAAAGAUGAAAAGGACUUUGGAAAGAGAGUUAAACAGUAUGUGAAAUUGUUGAAAGGGAAACGCUUGAAGUCAGUUAUGUUGGCUGGGGAUCAACCUAGCUAUUUUUUUGCUGGGUGAAUUUCCUAGUCUGACAGGCCAACAUCAGUCUUGACUGCUGGAAAAGAGCAGAGGGAAUGUGGCACCUUUGGGUGUGUUAUAGCCCUUCGUCAUAUGUGGCAGUUGGGACUGAGGGAUGCAGCAUGCCGUGAGGCUGGGUCUUUGACCACGUUCAUGCUUAGGAUGUUGGCUUUUAAUGGCUUCAAUCGACCCGUCUUGAAACACGGACCAAGGAGUCUAACAUGCCUGCRAGUGUUUGGGUGGGGAAAACCCUUGUGCACAAUGAAAGUGAAAGUUGAGAUCCCUGUCAUGGGGAGCAUCGACGCCCGGACCUGAGCUUUUAGCGACGGAUCCGCGGUAGAGCAUGCAUGUUGGGACCCGAAAGAUGGUGAACUAUGCCUGAAUAGGGCAAAGCCAGAGGAAACUCUGGUGGAGGCUCGUAGCGAUUCUGACGUGCAAAUCGAUCGUCAAAUUUGGGUAUAGGGGCGAAAGACUAAUCGAACCAUCUAGUAGCUGGUUCCUGCCGAAGUUUCCCUCAGGAUAGCAGAAGCUCAUUAUCAGAUUUAUGUGGUAAAGCGAAUGAUUAGAGGCCUUGGGGUUGAAACAACCUUAACCUAUUCUCAAACUUUAAAUAUGUAAGAACGAGCUGUCACUUGACUGGACUGCUCGGUGAUUGAGAGCUUCUAGUGGGCCAUUUUUGGUAAGCAGAACUGGCGAUGCGGGAUGAACCGAUCGCAAGGUUAAGGUGCCAGAGUUCACGCUCAUCAGACACCACAAAAGGUGUUAGUUCAUCUAGACAGCAGGACGGUGGCCAUGGAAGUCGGAACCCGCUAAGGAGUGUGUAACAACUCACCUGCCGAAUGAACUAGCCCUGAAAAUGGAUGGCGCUUAAGCGUGACACCCAUACCUUGCUGUCAGUGUUGAAGUGAUGCACUGACAAGUAGGCAGGCGUGGAGGUCAGUGAAGAAGCCUAGGCAGG